AACUUUUGACAACGGAUCACUUGGCUCUCGCAUCGAUGAAGAACGCAGCGAAAUGCGAUAAGUAAUGUGAUUUGCAGAAUUCAGUGAAUCAUCGAAUCUUUGAACGCACCUUGCGCUCCUUGGUAUUCCGAGGAGCAUGCCUGUUUGAGUGUCAUUAAUAUAUCAACCCUCUCUUGUUGAGUGGUUUGGAUGUGGGGGUUUGCUGGCCUCUUAAAAGGUUUUAGCUCCCCUGAAAUGCAUUAGCAGAACAACCCCCUGUUCAUUGGUGUGAUAACUAUCUACGCUAUUGAAUGUGAAGGGCAGUUUGGCUUUCUAACAGUCCUUGCUUGGACAGCUCAUCAUUAAUGUGACCUCAAAUCAGGUAGGACUACCCGCUGAACUUAAGCAUAUCAAUAAGCGGAGGCU
rnacentral:misc_RNA from 1 species